rnacentral:rRNA from 1 species
UGACGCAGCGACGCCGCGUGAGGGAUGAAGCUUCUCGGAGUGUAAACCUCUUUCGACCCGGACGAGGGCCCGCAAGGGUUGACGGUACGGGGGGAAGAAGCCCCGGCUAACUACGUGCCAGCAGCCGCGGUAAAACGUAGGGGGCCAGCGUUGCUCGGAAUUACUGGGCGUAACGGGUCUGUAGGCGGUGCGGUAAGUCCGGAGUGAAAUCUCCAGGCUCAACUUGGAGGCUGCUUUGGAAACUGCCGUGCUCGAGUGCGGGAGAGGCGCGCGGAAUUGCAGGUGUAGCGGUGAAAUGCGUAGAUAUCUGCAGGAACACCAGUGGCGAAGGCGGCGCGCUGGACCGCAACUGACGCUGAGAGACGAAAGCUAGGGGAGCAAACAGGAUUAGAUACCCUGGUAGUCCUAGCCCUAAACGAUCAGGACUUGACGUGGGCCCCGUCCGGGGUCCGUGCCGUAGCCAACGCGAUAAGUCCUGCGCCUGGGGAGUACGGUCGCAAGGCUG